GAAAACUUGUAACGCCCCGAAUUCUCUAGCAACUCGGAACGUUACCAAACGUGAAUUGAUUAAUAAAGUGCUUGAGGCAAAUACAUUUUAAUAUAACAAGGAAUUCAGUAAAAAUUGAACAACCUUAACAAAAGGUAAAUUAAAUUAAAUAACAUAUGCGGAACAAUUUGGAAUCAUAUCUUUUAUCAAACAUUAAUAAAAGUAGUUCUAACAAAUAAUAAAAAUAGGACUAAUUGAAAGUUAUGACGUGACUCACAAUUGAGUCUAAAUUUAUAAAUAAUAAUAAUCAACUGUUAAUAAAUAUUCUAGUGUUUCUAAAAAUUAAAGUACUUCAUGAUGGAGAUCCAUUGGUCCAAUAUGCAUCCAUCCACCGCCGUCCAGCAUACUAAUUUCUACCUGAAAAUUGUAAAUAGAGAGGGAUGAGUCUAACGAAUUAUACUCAAUGAGAUACUUGCUACUCCACAUUCAAAUCAAACGUGAAAUUAUGCAUAAAUUCUCUUACCAACAUAACAUGAGAAUUAUCACACCAUGACAAAUGAUAAUUCAAGCAAGCGCUGCAAAUAACGUGAAAGCUAAAUUGUGCCUUAAACUGUAUCAUGAUUUCUCCCAAAGGAGCUCUGAACUGAAGUAAUUAAAUCCAUACAUAACAACGUAUUUGAAAAGAUGUGGACAAACCACUAAUAGCACUGAGCAUCUCACCUUUUGAAGAUGAACGUGGAAAGCAAAAUUGCUGAAAACGUGAUUCUUUAUUGAAAUUCCAAAGCCUUAAAAAGCCUUAAUAAUAUGGAGAAAUAUUUUUAAAGAGGAGGAGAGAAUAAAGACUUGUAGAAGAAGAAUGAGGAAUUAAUGACUAAAUGCUUGAGGUUCAGUGCUAUAUUUAUACUAAACCAUGGUGUAGGGUAAUCACGUGGGAAGUGGAAUUUUGAUAAGUUUUGA
rnacentral:lncRNA from 1 species